rnacentral:rRNA from 1 species
AGGACGAACGACUGGCGGCGGUGCUUAACAACAUGCAAGUCGAGCGGAAAGGCCCUUCGGGGGUACUCGAGCGGCGAACGGGUGAGUAACACGUGAGCAACCUGCCCUUAGCUCUGGGAUAGCUCCGGGAAACCGGAAUUAAUACCGGAUAUGACCUAGGCCGACAUCGGCCGUGGUGGAAAGUUUUUCGGCUAGGGAUGGACUCGCGGCCUAUCAGCUAGUUGGUGGGGUAAUGGCCUACCGAAGGCGACGACGGGUA